CGGAGGAAAAGAAACCAACAGGGAUUGCCUCAGUAACGGCGAGUGAAGCGGCAACAGCUCAAAUUUGAAAUCUGGCCCCAGGCCCGAGUUGUAAUUUGCAGAGGAUGCUUCUGGCGACGUGCCUUCCAAGUUCCCUGGAACGGGACGCCAUAGAGGGUGAGAGCCCCGUACGGUAGUGCACCUAGCCUCUGUGAAGCUCCUUCGACGAGUCGAGUAGUUUGGGAAUGCUGCUCUAAAUGGGAGGUAUACGUCUUCUAAAGCUAAAUACCGGCUAGAGACCGAUAGCGCACAAGUAGAGUGAUCGAAAGAUGAAAAGCACUUUGAAAAGAGGGUUAAACAGUACGUGAAAUUGCUGAAAGGGAAGCGCUUAUGACCAGACUUGGGCCGGUGAAUCACCCGUCGUUCUCGGCGGUGCACUUUGCCGGCUCAGGCCAGCAUCAGUUCGCUCCGGGGGAUAAAGGCUUCGGGAAAGUAGCUCCCUCGGGAGUGUUAUAGACCGUUGCGCAAUACCUGGGGCGGACUGAGGUACGCGUUCUGCAAGGAUGCUGGCGUAAUGGUCAUCAGUGACCCGUCUUGAAACACGGACCAAGGAGUCGUCUUCGUAUGCGAGUGUUCGGGUGUCAAACCCCUACGCGUAAUGAAAGUGAACGUAGGAGAGAGCUUCGGCGCAUCUCCGACCGAUCCUGAUGUUCUCGGAUGGAUUUGAGUAAGAGCAUACGGGGCCGGACCCGAAAGAAGGUGAACUAUGCCUGUAUAGGGUGAAGCCAGGGGAAACUCUGGUGGAGGCUCGCAGCGGUUCUGACGUGCAAAUCGAUCGUCAAAUAUGGGCAUGGGGGCGAAAGACUAAUC
rnacentral:rRNA from 1 species